rnacentral:lncRNA from 1 species
CUAGAUUCAAGUGUGCAACAGUUCAUUACGGAAUAAAUGUUCAACAGUUUGAGAUUUCUAUCUAUGAUAGAUUAUGUUUGCCGGUCAUCCUAUCCUGUCUUAAAAUCUAAAACUGUUGAUAAUCAGUAGAGGAAAUCAUUACCUUAUUACCUGACUUAGCGGCUGAAAUGUGUUGAGAGAUUAGAACUGAAAAUGAAGCAGUGAAGUUGACUUCCUU